ensembl:lncRNA
AGUUCCCAGGCUAGGGGUCACAUCAGAGCUGCAGCUGCUGGCCUACACCACAGCAAUGCCAGAUCUGAGCUGUGUCUGCAACCUACAUAUACCACAGCUCAUGGUAACGCCAGAUCCUGAACCCAUUGAGCAACACCAGGGAUCAAACUCGCAUCCUCACGGAUGCUAGUCAGGUUUGUUACCGCUGAGCCACAACAGGAACUCCUGGAAUUCUUUUUUACUUUUAUUUUUUUAGGUUCCCAGGCUAGGGGUCAAAUCGGAGCUACAGCUGCCAGCCUACGCCACAGCCUAAGCCACAGCUUAUGCCACAACUCAGGAUCUGAUCCAUGUCUGAGACCUACAACAGAGGUCACAGCAAUGCCAGAUCUUUAACCCACUGAGAAAGGCCAGAGAUCGAUCCCACAACUUCAUGGUUCCUAGUCAGAUUUGUUAACUGCUGCACCAUGACAGGAACUCCCUGGAAUUCUGUAUAUGCUCUGCAUGAGUCAGUUUUUGAAUCUAUGUAUUACAAUGUUCUUUUCUCAGUGUGUGGUUUAUCUUUUCACUUUCUUAAUUAUCUUUAAUUAAUGACCAGAAAUCCUUAGUUUUAAGGAAGUCUAAUUUAUCAACCUUUUAUGGUUAGUACAUUCUGUCUCAUCUUAAAUUUUUUUUCCUACUCCAAGGUUAUAAAGAUAUUCUAGGGAGUUCCCUUCAUGGCUCAGCGGUUAACAAACCCAACUAGGAUUCAUGAAGAUGCAGGUUCAUUCCUGGCCUCACUCAGUGGGGGAAUUCCUCUUCUUUUCUAAUAUAUCCACUUAAAUAUGCAUUGCUUUAGAUGCAUCCCAUAACUUUUAAUAUAUAUUUUAUUUCCUUAUCAUUCAGUCUGAAACAUUUUAGUGUCCUUUGUGAUUUCUCCUCUGAUUCACGGAUUACUUAGAAAUGUGUCCAAGAGCAAAAGGACAUUCAGCACAUCUCUGGCAGUAAACUAAGCCCACAGCGUCACGGGGGCUGAGCUGAGGGCGGGUGGAACAGGCUGCUUGCUUUUGUCUCUGCACCUCCUGGAGCUCUGUGGGUGGGUGAAUGGUUUCCACAGGCAGGAGGUGUGUGUGUUGACACCUUAGAGCCAAGCCCUGC